AAUACAUCGGAACGUGCCCAACCUGGGGGAUAACGCAGCGAAAGCUGUGCUAAUACCGCAUACGAUCUACGGAUGAAAGCAGGGGAUCGCAAGACCUUGCGCGAAUGGAGCGGCCGAUGGCAGAUUAGGUAGUUGGUGAGGUAAAGGCUCACCAAGCCUUCGAUCUGUAGCUGGUCUGAGAGGACGACCAGCCACACUGGGACUGAGACACGGCCCAGACUCCUACGGGAGGCAGCAGCG
rnacentral:rRNA from 1 species